CCCGAUGGAGACGCGGAGGACAUUACAGAGUUAUCCAACUCCCAAACCCAUGUGAACUUAUCUCUUUGUUGCCUCGGCGCAAGCUACCCGGGACCUCGCGCCCCGGGCGGCCCGCCGGCGGACAAACCAAAACUCUUGUUAUCUUAGUUGAUUAUCUGAGUGUCUUAUUUAAUAAGUCAAAACUUUCAACAACGGAUCUCUUGGUUCUGGCAUCGAUGAAGAACGCAGCGAAAUGCGAUAAGUAAUGUGAAUUGCAGAAUUCAGUGAAUCAUCGAAUCUUUGAACGCACAUUGCGCCCAUUAGUAUUCUAGUGGGCAUGCCUGUUCGAGCGUCAUUUCAACCCCUAAGCACAGCUUAUUGUUGGGAACCUACGGCUUCGUAGUUCCUCAAAGACAUUGGCGGAGUGGCAGUGGUCCUCUGAGCGUAGUAAUCUUUUAUCUCGCUUCUGUUAGGUGCUGCCCCCCCGGCCGUAAAACCCCCAAUUUUUUCUGGUUGACCUCGGAUCAGGUAGGAAUACCCGCUGAACUUAAGCAUAUCAAACU
rnacentral:rRNA from 1 species